UUCAAUAUUGCCUUUAAAAGCAAUGUGCACUUCUCUCUUAGUAAGACGCUGUGAUCCAUUAGAAAUUGGAAUGUUCCCACAUUCAUUUAGCUGUCAAUAGGCCAAUGUGAAGUUCAUUGAUGCAAAUAGCAUGAUCUUUUACGGUUUUGUAUAUUGUUUGAUGAGCACAUUGUAACCUGUACAAUAGCUGUCUGAUGGAUUUUAAAGGUCAUAUUAUUGAUGUUAAGGCAUCACUCGUGUGAAUGAGAAUGAAUAUGUACCCGAUCAACAGCGGUUUAAAUUUGGCAUACCUUCUGGACCCGUCUUGAAACACGGACCAAGGAGUCUAUCUAGUAUGCAAGUAAAUGAGUAUAUGAAACUUAUUUGCGUAAAAAACUUGACUGUUAUGGGAUUACGAGUUGUUAUGAUUCUUCCAUCCCGGGGUAUUUUUAUCAACAUAUUUUUAUGGAAAAUAUACCAUGAGCAUACUGGAUAUGACCCGAAAGAUGGUGAACUAUGCCUGAUCAGGUUGAAGUCAGGGGAAACCCUGAUGGAGGACCGAAGCAAUUCUGACGUGCAAAUCG
rnacentral:rRNA from 1 species